rnacentral:miRNA from 1 species
UUUGGCACUGUCACAUUUUUGU